AACGCGAAGAACCUUACCAAGACUUAAAUGGGAAAUGACAGAUUUAGAAAUAGAUCCUUCUUCGGACAUUUUUCAAGGUGCUGCAUGGUUGUCGUCAGCUCGUGCCGUGAGGUGUUAGGUUAAGUCCUGCAACGAGCGCAACCCCUGUCACUAGUUGCUAACAUUAAGUUGAGGACUCUAGUGAGACUGCCUACGCAAGUAGAGAGGAAGGUGGGGAUGACGUCAAAUCAUCACGGCCCUUACGUCUUGGGCCACACACGUGCUACAAUGGCCGGUACAGAGGGCAGCUACCUAGUGAUAGGAUGCAAAUCUCGAAAGCCGGUCUCAGUUCGGAUUGGAGUCUGCAACUCGACUCUAUGAAGCUGGAAUCGCUAGUAAUCGCGCAUCAGCCAUGGCGCGGUGAAUACGUUCCCGGGUCUUGUACACACCG
rnacentral:rRNA from 1 species